UUUGAUCCUGGCUCAGAUUGAACGCUGGCGGCAGGCCUAACACAUGCAAGUCGAGCGGCAGCACGGGAAGCUUGCUUCCUGGUGGCGAGCGGCGGACGGGUGAGUAAUGCAUAGGAAUCUGCCCGGUAGUGGGGGAUAACCUGGGGAAACCCAGGCUAAUACCGCAUACGUCCUACGGGAGAAAGCAGGGGCUCUUCGGACCUUGCGCUAUCGGAUGAGCCUAUGUCGGAUUAGCUGGUUGGUGAGGUAAUGGCUCACCAAGGCGACGAUCCGUAGCUGGUCUGAGAGGAUGAUCAGCCACAUCGGGACUGAGACACGGCCCGAACUCCUACGGGAGGCAGCAGUGGGGAAUAUUGGACAAUGGGCGCAAGCCUGAUCCAGCCAUGCCGCGUGUGUGAAGAGGGCCCUCGGGUUGUAAAGCACUUUCAGUGGGGAAGAAAGCCUGGUGGUUAAUACCCGUCAGGAAGGACAUCACCCACAGAAGAAGCACCGGCUAACUCCGUGCCAGCAGCCGCGGUAAUACGGAGGGUGCGAGCGUUAAUCGGAAUUACUGGGCGUAAAGCGCGCGUAGGUGGCUUGAUAAGCCGGUUGUGAAAGCCCCGGGCUCAACCUGGGAACGGCAUCCGGAACUGUCAGGCUAGAGUGCACGAGAGGAAAGGUAGAAUUCCCGGUGUAGCGGUGAAAUGCGUAGAGAUCGGGAGGAAUACCAGUGGCGAAAGGCGGGCCUUCUGGACUGACACUGACACUGAGGUGCGAAAGCGUGGGUAGCAAACAGGAUUAGAUACCCUGGUAGUCCACGCCCGUAACGAUGUCGACUAGCCCGUUGGGUCCCUUCGCGGGACUUUUGUGGCGCAGUUAACGCGAUAGUCGACCGCCUGGGGGAGUACG
rnacentral:rRNA from 1 species